rnacentral:rRNA from 1 species
UACGUAGGAGACGAGCGUUGUCCGGAGUUACUGGGCGUAAAGGGUGCGCAGGUGGCGGCGCGCGUGGGGGGUGAAAUCGCCCGGCUUAACUGGGCGGGGGCCUUCCAGACGGCGUGGCUUGAGCAGCGGAGGGGGACGUGGAAUUCCGGGUGGAGCGGUGAAAUGCGUAGAGAUGUGGAGGAACACCAAUGGCGAAGGCAGCCUUCUGGGCCAACACUGACGCUCAUGCACGAAAGCGUGGGGAGCAAACAGG